rnacentral:lncRNA from 15 species
AUGGUAACAACUGAGCAUUUGAAGAUGAUGCGAUUGCUGUUCCUGUGUCUGCUGCUGCUGCUGCCAGCUGCUACUGCUGUUUCAGAAGAGGAUGAAGGAUCAGCUGAUGGAGGUCUGGAAAAUGACGAUGAGGACUUAUACAGACUUUCAAAACGGAUUCCAGAUGUUUCCACUACAGAUUAUCCUGGCUCACUCUCAGAUAAAGCUACAGGUGAAGAAGGGUCAGAUCAGUUGACCAUGAUUAUCAUCAUUGUAGCUGUGACUGCAUUGACUCUCUCAGUUGCAGUGAUAGUCGUCAUAAUGUUGGUAAGACGCCACAUGCACAAAAGGCAACAAGGGGUCUACUCCGUGCCUACAGAGCAGGACCAGAAAGGGGCCGUUUAG